rnacentral:lncRNA from 1 species
UCUGAAUAAAAUGACUGGCUGUGUUUUAAUCAAGCAGAAAUAAAGAGUUCAGAGAUGUAUGGGUAAGAUAACAUGCCAUCAGUCUGUAUAUUUAUUGUGUGAGUAAAAGACCAUGACUGAGCAGGAGGAUGUGCCACUCUGCACAAGCUGCCCAGGUAGUAUUUCGGCAAGGACAGCAACUGGGAGGAUUACUUGUUCGUACAUGGUACGUGGUGACUCAGUGGCUCUCGCUGGAACCUCUGAGCAUCAUAAUUCAUUGCCUGGCCUCGGUUAACGUUUGUGGAGUGGUCUACGGCAACAUAUUGUGA